GCCACACGGUGACACCAAACCAGCGUUUUGAUAUUCAUCCACCUGGAACCCGGAUUUAAAAAUGGCCUUUUCCGAACUCCCAAGACGCCCAGCCUGAAAGACUAAACACUUGUAGAGUCACCUGAAAUCGUCUCCGUGUUGAUUGGGCCUGCCAGUCUGGCCUUAACGUGAUAGGGUGGAGCGAGACCGCCAUGUUUGAAAUCGCUGCGUUUGUUGUUUGAGCAGCACAGGACCGACCGACCGUGGCGUCUCAGCGGUGGUUUGUUUGGCUGCUGAUGUGGAAGUGGACGAGUCGGCCGUGGGACCGCCAUGUUUGAAAUCGCUGCGUUUAAUACAACAUUGCAUGGAGUCGUUACUUGCAGCAUUCACUCCUCCUGAGCAGCAGGGGGCGACUGGAAGCCGCUUGUGUUGAGUUGGUGACUUUACAGUAGUCCCUCAUACUGAGCACGCAUGUAGCAACAGUGGAGAGGGAGAACUCCCCUCAAACGGGAAGAAACCUCCAGCAGAACCAGAACUGGGCUCAGUACCAGCAGCCAUCUGCCCUGACUGACUGGAGCUGAGAGAAGACGGAGCAGAAACACAGAGCAACUGUUCAGGAGAACUUACUACGUUCAUGGAAACGUUGACAGCAGAAGACGGAGAAGGGUCGGAUGAUGGUCAUGUCAGCCAAUGUCCUCCUCCAGGAAGGAACCACAGCCAAUCGGAACGCCCGACCAGGUGUAGCGUCUAUGGAGGGAAAAAAAAAAUCUGUGUUUAUGACAAUACUAUCCAUUCAUUUAAACGUGAUAUUCUCCUACACAAUGUCCAGUUUGACCCUAAAUGUA